rnacentral:misc_RNA from 1 species
ACAAACUUGGUCAUUUAGAGGAAGUAAAAGUCGUAACAAGGUCUCCGUAGGUGAACCUGCGGAGGGAUCAUUAUCGAGUGGUUGCCUUCUGGCUUCUACCCCUUGAAACCGUGGAAGGGAAGCAUGCUUUGGUGCCGUGAGCGCCAGAUUUAUACCGUAAGCAAGUUUGGCUCUGAACAAAACAUGAAACGAAAACUUUCAACAAGAGACAGACAAACUUGGUCAUUUAGAGGAAGUAAAAGUCGUAACAAGGUCUCCGUAGGUGAACCUGCGGAGGGAUCAUUAUCGAGUGGUUGCCUUCUGGCUUCUACCCCUUGAAACCGUGGAAGGGAAGCAUGCUUUGGUGCCGUGAGCGCCAGAUUUAUACCGUAAGCAAGUUUGGCUCUGAACAAAACAUGAAACGAAAACUUUCAACAAAGGAUCUCUUGGCUCUUGCAUCGAUGAAGAACGCAGC